UACUCAUUAUCCAAAAGAAUGCGUAUCUAUUGACAAUUCGAACAUCAUUCCGUCGGGAUGCGCUUCGAUUUUAUGCCUUUUUUUCUAAUUUCACGGACUAUUCGUGUCCUAUGUCAUGUCACAAAGUGCAGCAAACAGUGUACAUACACAAAUUACCGACUAACUACUUCCGCCCCCACUUGCUUCACACUUUUUCGCAGAGUAUCUGAAGAAAAGAUUAUCAUUCUACGUCUGCACGGUGAUAUCUUUAAAGAAAUCGUAUUUGUUUUGUGUUUGACAUAAUAUACACGUAUCCUUGUGACUCACUUAACGCGUAUGGAGAACACAGGAUAGAGCCAAACCAGUGACAAUCUAUUACACAUGAAAUUAUAAAUUCUCACGGAUUAAAAAUUCGAACGUUUAAAAAUUUUUAAUACGUUUCUAGUUAAGUCUUGUGUUUUAUUAAUAAUGGCGACAAGUCAACUUUUCUUUUAACGUAGAUGAAGAUAAUACAAUUUGGGCCCCUCGAUGACGCGCCAACAUGAGUCGUCCCUGGCCCAUAAGUACUCAACUAACAAAAAUGGCGGACUGAAGUUGUAUAUCUAACGACAGUUACUGUAUCAAGUAACACGUGUACUCCAUUGUCCGAAUCAAUGGAUGUCGAUAUUAUUAUUUAAUAGAUAAGAAUUAACGUCGGUUUUUCAUUUAUAGUAUACUGAAAAGAUAUAUAUAAUACAGUAAAUGUACAAUUCGUAUGUCGUAUUACCAACAUAUAAAAAGUCAAAAUUUUUGAUAAAAAAACAAAUGAAUGUGAAAUCCAAUAUGUAUAUGCACAACACAAAUAGUUUCAAUGAACAACCACAUUAAAUGACAGUAAAAUGAAUACAAUUUCUACUAUGAAAACUUAUGUUCAGAAAGGCGGGAUUCUCGGUAGACUAGUCUAUUGAACGAGUACAGCCGAACGUAGGCCCCGACAUGCGUCCUCACGAAAAUCAACGAUUGCACACGACGUUGUCCAAUAUGGCGUCAUGAUUUGCCCCAGCUAAACUAAUUUCCAAUAAAUUAAAGUAAAUAAAUUCGGAUAUAUAAUGUCCUCAUGUUAGAAACGCUCGCGUCAGCAAUAAAGCUUUGAAUAAUAAUCUUAUCUUUUACUUCUAUACUGAUUCGAUACUUGAAAUCACAAAAAGGUCACACUUACUGUUUCCCCCACUUCUGUUCUUUCCUUCCACUACUUAAUACUUCACACUGCUAAUAUUAUUUGCAGUACAGUAAAAAUAUGAAUACUUUUUUCUCACUAUUAACAGUUCUACUGUCCAUUUGUUUUUCUUAGUUACAACAAAGAAUGGGAUGCAAAAGUUAAUACAAGUUCCGUUUGCAUUAUCAAAUACCUUUUUGUAAGAGUGUAUUUUUCCUUUAUUGUGCAAGAAUUUCGAAAAUUUUUAUCUAUUACUCAAUGUAAUAUUUAAAUGUUAAUAAUUGUUUUCUAAACAAAUUGUACACGAAAAGUAGAAGUAAAUGUUUUCAAAGAUUAUUUUCUAAGUUGCAAGUAUUUAUAUUGAACGUUUGAUAAGUAACCCCACCCCUUUUCUUUCUGCGCCAACUAGCAAGGUCAACAUGCGUCACAAUCGUAAUAUAACGCGUUUCUUUACUGAGUGGGAGACUCAUAAAACUUACGAUGCUACUCAUUACUUAAAAUUUAUAAUAUAAAAAAUUCAUUCUACCAAUCAAUUUAUCGUAUAUCAUACCACGUAUGUUUUAUUUAUAAUUACGAAAAAAUAUUAUUUUGCUAUGUAGUUCAAAUUAAUACAGUUAUAAAAUUUAAGAAUCAUAAGUCCAAGUCAUUAUUUCCAAAUGAGAAUCCUAAUUUGGCUGUUAUUACCAAAAUACAACACAAAAAGCAUUUAACUAGACUUUCUUUAUUAUAUUAUAUUGUUCGAAAUAUGUAAUACUUGAUUAUACACCUAACUGAGCAACAAUAAUGCAAUUAACAUACGUAUGUAUGAAUGUGUAUAUGUAUUUAUAGCAAAGACCAUAGUAUGUAUGUGUUACGUAUCCAAACGUUCCACCGUUAGUGUUUUACACAUGCGCGGUGAAUUAUGCUUAUGCGGAAUGUACUGCUUGCGAAGCUCAAAAACUAUCUAUUAUAUAUUUUCAUUUCAAUUGCAAAAGUAGUAAUUUCUAGAAACAGUUUAAGAUAAAUUCGUUAAUAAAAAUCAUUUAUAUCUUUCACAA